UUUCCGUAGGUGAACCUGCGGAAGGAUCAUUAUCGUGGGGCUCCGGCCCCGUCGAGAUAGAACCCUUGCCUUUUUCGAGUACCGCCCGUUUCCUCGGCAGGCCCGCCUGCCAACGGGGACAACCAAAACCCUUCUUUAUCUGUAAUCGUCUGAACAAAAACAAACAAUCAAAACUUUCAACAACGGAUCUCUUGGUUCUG
rnacentral:misc_RNA from 1 species